rnacentral:rRNA from 1 species
GACGGAGGAGGCAAGCGUUAUCCGGAAUUAUUGGGCGUAAAGCGUCCGCAGGUGGCUUUCCAAGUCUGCUGUCAAAGCCCGAGGCUUAACCUCGGAUCGGCGGUGGAAACUGGAUCGCUAGAGUACGUCAGGGGUAGGGUUAAUUCCCGGUGUAGCGGUGAAAUGCGUAGAUAUCGGGAAGAACACCAGCGACGAAAGUGGCCUACUGGGACGUUACUGACACUCAUGGACGAAAGCUAGGGGAGCGAAAGGG